GUUUAGGUGUAAACGGAAGAUGUAUAAACGAAACUGUUGCAUCAUCUCGUCUUGCUACUUUUAAAACAGGAAAUGUGCCUGCUCAGCUAGAUGAUGAACUAAAGAACCAGCAAAGUGCUCAACUCUGUAAUAGGGUUAGAACCAAGGCUGAUGAACCAAACUUCUGCAGAUGUGUGACCGGAGUUCUCGAGAAAGAUUUUAGGGGACAAGUGAAGGGAGGUUGCACUAAACCAUCCAGUGGAGACGGAGGUUUUAAUGAUGAUCUAAGUGAAGGAUAUUGCUUCCUA